AUUGAACGCUAGCUACAGGCUUAACACAUGCAAGUCGAGGGACCGGCGCACGGGAGAGUAACACGUAUCCAACCUUCCCUUUACUCGGGGAUAGCCUGUCGAAAGAAAGAUUAAUACCCGAUAUAAAGGAUGGGGAUGCGUUCGAUUAGGUUGUUGGUGAGGUAACGGCUCACCAAGCCUUCGAUGGAUAGGGGUUCUGAGAGGAAGGUCCCCCACAUUGGAAAUGAGGCACGGUCCAAACUCCUACGGGAGGCAGCAGUGAGGAAUAUUGGUCACUGUGCGCUAGCCUGAACAGGCCAAGUAGCGUGAAGGAUGAAGGCUUAUGGGUGGUAAACUUCUUUUAUAUAAGAAUAUGUAUUAUAUGAAUAAGGAUCGGCUAACUCCGUGCCAGCCGCCGCGGUAAUUC
rnacentral:rRNA from 1 species